rnacentral:lncRNA from 1 species
UCCAUCACCAAGGCAAACAAGAGAGGGCUAAGCGCCGAUCCUUGAUGGAGCCCCAUAACCACUGGAAAAUGGUCUGAGUCGCCACCCACCGUCCUAACACUAGUCUUAGCUCCAUCGACAUGUCCUUGAUUACUCUGAUGUAGGCUUCCGGCACAAUCUUCGCCUCCAAGAACCUCCAUAGUACCUCCCUUGGGACCUUGUCAUACGCCUUCUCCAAGUCAAUGAGCACCAUGUGCAGGUCCUUCUUCUUAUCCCUG